UCGUCAGCUCGUGUCGUGAGAUGUUGGGUUAAGUCCCGCAACGAGCGCAACCCUUAUUAUUAGUUGCCAGCAUUAAGUUGGGCACUCUAAUGAGACUGCCGGUGACAAACCGGAGGAAGGUGGGGAUGACGUCAAGUCAUCAUGCCCCUUAUGAUCUGGUCUACACACGUGCUACAAUGGAUGGUACAACGAGUUGCGAGACCGCGAGGUUUAGCUAAUCUCCUAAAGCCAUUCUCAGUUCGGAUUGCAGGCUGCAACUCGCCUGCAUGAAGCUGGAAUCGCUAGUAAUCGCGAAUCAGAACGUCGCGGUGAAUACGUUCCCGGGA
rnacentral:rRNA from 1 species